CAGUCACAUGGACCUGAAUGUGUUUGGUCUUUUCUCAUCUCAGAAGCUAAGCAGGGUUGAGCCUGGUUAGUACUUGCAUGGGAGAAUCACCAAGAACUGCCAGGUGGCUG
rnacentral:rRNA from 1 species